rnacentral:rRNA from 1 species
UGCAAGUCGAACGGCAGCACGGGUGCUUGCACCUGGUGGCGAGUGGCGAACGGGUGAGUAAUACAUCGGAACAUGUCCUGUAGUGGGGGAUAGCCCGGCGAAAGCCGGAUUAAUACCGCAUACGAUCUACGGAUGAAAGCGGGGGAUCUUUGGACCUCGCGCUAUAGGGUUGGCCGAUGGCUGAUUAGCUAGUUGGUGGGGUAAAGGCCUACCAAGGCGACGAUCAGUAGCUGGUCUGAGAGGACGACCAGCCACACUGGGACUGAGACACGGCCCAGACUCCUACGGGAGGCAGCAGUGGGGAAUUUUGGACAAUGGGCGAAAGCCUGAUCCAGCAAUGCCGCGUGUGUGAAGAAGGCCUUCGGGUUGUAAAGCACUUUUGUCCGGAAAGAAAUCCUGAGGGCUAAUAUCCUUCGGGGAUGACGGUACCGGAAGAAUAAGCACCGGCUAACUACGUGCCAGCAGCCGCGGUAAUACGUAGGGUGCGAGCGUUAAUCGGAAUUACUGGGCGUAAAGCGUGCGCAGGCGGUUUGUUAAGACCGAUGUGAAAUCCCCGGGCUCAACCUGGGAACUGCAUUGGUGACUGGCAAGCUAGAGUAUGGCAGAGGGGGGUAGAAUUCCACGUGUAGCAGUGAAAUGCGUAGAGAUGUGGAGGAAUACCGAUGGCGAAGGCAGCCCCCUGGGCCAAUACUGACGCUCAUGCACGAAAGCGUGGGGAGCAAACAGGAUUAGAUACCCUGGUAGUCCACGCCCUAAACGAUGUCAACUAGUUGUUGGGGAUUCAUUUCCUUAGUCACGUAGCUAACGCGUGAAGUUGACCGCCUGGGGAGUACGGUCGCAAGAUUAAAACUCAAAGGAAUUGACGGGGACCCGUACAAGCGGUGGAUGAUGUGGAUUAAUUCGAUGCAACGCGAAAAACCUUACCUACCCUU